UACGUAGGUGGCAAGCGUUGUCCGGAUUUACUGGGCGUAAAGAGCGCGCAGGCGGUCGGAUAAGUCGAAUGUGAAAGCCCCCGGCUCAACUGGGGAGGGUCAUUCGAUACUGUUCGACUCGAAGGCAGGAGAGGGAAGUGGAAUUCCCGGUGUAGUGGUGAAAUGCGUAGAUAUCGGGAGGAACACCAGUGGCGAAGGCGACAUCCUGGACCGGUAUUGACGCUGAGGCGCGAAAGCCAGGGGAGCAAACGGG
rnacentral:rRNA from 1 species